AAAGAGUUGUUGGCAGUGAAUCACAUAACGAAGCUGAAGAAUAUGCUCCAUUGAGUGCUAUGCAGGAACUAUAUCCUAGCGAUUGUGCACGAACCAAAGAGUGUUACACCGGUUUAUCGUUACCACAAGAAAAAAUGGUUGCUAAGAAAGCACACAUUGAAAAGUUUCAUAGGGCUAAUCAAGGAAGUGGAGAAUCAACUUAGCCAGACAAGCAGAUCACUACCCAGGAAUUGCAUCCUAGUUUUUCUGUGAGAACCAAAGAGGGUUACACUGGUUUAUCUUUACCACAC